UGGGCUGGAGCUCAGUUGGUGGAGUACUUGCCUUGCAUGCACAAGGCCCUGGGUUUGAUUCCCAGCACCAA
rnacentral:tRNA from 1 species